GCCUGGGUGGCUCAGUAGGUUAAGCAUCUGCCUGCAGCUCAGAUCGUAAUCUCAGUGUCCUGGGAUCAAGCCCCACCUCAGGCU
rnacentral:tRNA from 1 species